GUGGGGAAUCUUGGUCAAUGGACGAAAGUCUGAACCAGCGACACCGCGUGGGGGAUGAAAGCCUUCGGGUUGUAAACCCCUUUUCUGGGGAAAGAAUAAGGACGGGAGGAAAUGCCCGCCCGAUGACGGUACUCCAGGAAUAAGCAUCGGCUAACUCUGUGCCAGCAGCCGCGGUAAGACAGAGGAUGCAAGCGUUAUCCGGAAUUACUGGGCGUAAAGGGCGUCUAGGCGGUUCGGUAAGUCGUUUGUGAAAUCCCUUGGCUCAACCAAGGAGGGUCUUGCGAUACUGCCGGGCUUGGGUGCAGGAGAGGAGAGUGGAACUCACAGAGUAGCGGUGGAAUGCGUAGAUACUGUGAGGUACCCCGAUGGCGAAGGCAACUCUCUGGCCUGCCACCGACGCUGAAGCGCGAAAGCGUGGGGAGCAAAGGGGAUUAGAUACCCGGGUAGUCC
rnacentral:rRNA from 1 species